CGAGAGUUUGAUCCUGGCUCAGGAUGAACGCUAGCGACAGGCUUAACACAUGCAAGUCGAGGGGCAGCAAUUUGUAGCAAUACAAAGUUGGCGACCGGCGCACGGGUGAGUAACGCGUAUGCAACCUACCCACAACAGAAGAAUAAUCCGGCGAAAUCGGUCUAAUACUUCAUAAAACAGGGACACCGCAUGGUGUUAUUUGUUAAAGAUUUAUCGGUUGUGGAUGGGCAUGCGUGCCAUUAGGUAGUUGGUGAGGUAACGGCUCACCAAGCCUACGAUGGUUAGGGGUUCUGAGAGGAAAGUCCCCCACACUGGUACUGAGACACGGACCAGACUCCUACGGGAGGCAGCAGUGAGGAAUAUUGGUCAAUGGGCGAGAGCCUGAACCAGCCAAGUCGCGUGAAGGAUGACGGCCCUAUGGGUUGUAAACUUCUUUUGCAGGGGAAUAAAGAUAUUCACGUGUGGGUAGUUGUAUGUACCCUGCGAAUAAGCAUCGGCUAACUCCGUG
rnacentral:rRNA from 1 species